UACGGGGGGGGCAAGCGUUGUUCGGAAUUACUGGGCGUAAAGGGCUCGUAGGCGGCUUUCUAAGUCGGGGGUGAAAUCCUGGAGCUCAACUCCAGAACUGCCUUUGAUACUGGGGAUCUCGAGUCCGGAAGAGGUGAGUGGAACUCCGAGUGUAGAGGUGAAAUUCGUAGAUAUUCGGAAGAAACACCAGUGGCGAAGGCGGCUCACUGGUCCGGUACUGACGCUGAGGAGCGAAAGCAUGGGUAGCGAACAGG
rnacentral:rRNA from 1 species